rnacentral:rRNA from 1 species
UGUAAGCGUAGCGAUACGUUGAGCUAACCAGUACUAAUGAACCGUGAGGCUUAACCUGACAACACCGAAAGUGUUUUG